GAGCCUAUACUCAUCACUAGGUGAGCUCAAGGAGCCAGUUCUUAAUAGUUCUGAAUCAGAUGAAAAGGCUAUUAGGGCCUGGAAGGCGCUCUCCGGAGCAGGUGAAGUCACUGGACAACUAACAAAGAUCGUCCAGGGACCUCAGGAGUCAUUCUCAGAUUUUGUGGCCAGAAUGACAGAAGCAGCAGAGCGUAUUUUUGCAGAUUCAGAGCAAGCCGCACCUCUGGUAGAAUAGCUCAUUUAUGAGCAAGCCACACAGGAAUGCAGAGCGGCCAUAGCCUCAAGAAAGAACAAAGGUUUACAAGACUGGCUUAGGGUUUGUCGGGAGCUUGGGGGACCUCUCAUUAUGCGUUACUUCCAUUCAGUAUGAGAAAUUUACUAGGGCAGCUAACUUGUCAAAAAGUCUUUCUCAGUAUAUGUUACAGAAUUGGACGGCUGAAUUUGAACAGACUCUUCGGGAAUUGAGACUUGCCAUCAUUCAGGUCAACUCCACGCGCUUGGACCUGUCCCUGAUCAAAGGAUUACCCAAUUGGAUCUCCUCAGCAUUUUCCUUCUUUAAAGAAUGGGCAUGUCUAAUGGACUUGUUUCCCCUUUCCAGAAGAAGGGGGACAUGGAGGACAGCAUGACAUAGAAUUUGUGAGGAUAGAGAUGGAGACUGACAGCUGUAUAACUCUCAUCUUAUGCUUGCCCAGUGGUACCAUUUGUGCAACGUAUCUUCUGGAAGUCUCUCAUUCUAUUUGAAGAGACCAGCUGUAAAGGCAAGAUGGUAAAUCCAUUUUCGUGCCAGUUCAUCUUUGGCUUCUCUCCAGAUUUCUAAUAUUUAGGGCUUGAUUUUGCUGGCUGCCUUCUUCGUGGAUGCACAGAGCUCCCAUUGACUUCAUUAUGAUAAGCAGAGUGAUGAUAAACUCAAAUGGUAAACAGAAGGGUUCUUCACUUCAAUGGAAAUUCUCUGCGUGUGAAGAGAUAUUGUCCAGUAAAAAAAUCAUCCAAUUUCAUAUUAAAUAAAUAAACACAAUGGUAUCUGGAAUGACAACUUGGAGUCAUUUGACAUAUGUCUAAGAUAGCAUGACAACCAGAGAUUCCACUCUCAUCAUUACGAAAUUACUGUCUGAUAAACAGACUUGAUUUCUUCACUCCUCUUAAAGAAGAGUCCUAGAUGCUCCAUCCUCCUGCUGUCAUGAAUCUUUCUGAAGAUGUGCAUAAAUAUACUGCUUUUCUUGUAAAGAUGGGCCCACCAAUAAGGCCCAUCAAAGCAAGUGAACUAUAAUAUUUUUAAUAUUUGAUAUUUUUCAUUGGUUCAAAUUUGCAUGGCCAACAAUCAAUCUGGUGUUUAGUUUCCUCCUGAGUUUCCACUGUUGCAAACUGACACAGGGAGGAUGGUGGUGGUGCUGGGUUAAGAAUUUAAGGUGCUAACUGACUAAUGUAGGCAAGCAUAAUUAAUCAUGUCAGAAAUCUUUGCAUGCAGUUUAAUUGGUUUGCAUUAUCUAUAAGAUAGUGUUUUCAUAAAAUAACAAAAUGGUUUCUGCUAAAACUGCUAAUUUAUUGCCUUCAAAAUAAGAGGCACCCAAAUGGGAAUCCAGAAGGAGUAAAACCCCCAUGCUCCUCAAAAUGAGAGCAUUUCAGAUAAAAUAGUGCUGUGUGUUUUUUUUUCAUAUGAAGACUGUUGAUUAAUAAACUUAGCUUACCUUUGGUGGCAUAAGCAAAAUGUUUCCAUUAAUUCUAUUUGUUGAAAUGAAUUUGUUUUUGGUAAAGCUUUUUGGGUUAAGUUUUUUUUUUUCCCAAUUGAGAGAAAAA
rnacentral:lncRNA from 1 species